UCGUCCUCUGCACCAUUUUCAUUCCUUGAACCUAUAAAUCUCUUUCUCGAUCUUUCUGUUUCUGAGUAAUGGAAGGCGCGUCGCAGCUGGUACGGACUGGAAGGAAGUCAUCGAUAGAAAGUGAGCCGAGAACGCUGGGGUUUCAUCAGAUCCAAUAUGCAAGGGAGGCAGCUGAGUACGUGAUGAAUACAAAGGAUUUAGAAGAAGCAAAGCGCAUUUUCACUCAGGGAUUACAGCCAGUAGUGAGCGUGAUGAAACCAACUGGAGAGGAGAUGAUGGAUUCGGUUGACGAAUUUGAGUAUUCAGAAGGUCGAUACCGAUUAUCUGAACUAAGGGAUGUAGUCACAGCGCCAUUUUAGGUACCUAUCACUUCGGAGUUCGGAACCAUAAAAGUUCUUCUCAAUGGAUGUAGAAUAUCUCUCCUUGCAUGAAUCCAAUUUACAUUUCAUGAUACCAGAAGAGUUUUUAAAGUGGAGUCACUAGAGUGGAAGUCUCAUGAUGGGCCUUCUUAGGCAGAGUCUCAUGAUGGGCCUUCACUACUUUGUGACUAAAAAGAGCUGUGGCAGCCCAUGUGAUCUUCUUGCAAGUGAUCUUGUUGUAAAUAUCUUGAGACCUAGCGCUCUGCUAGGGUUUCGGAAUCCUCUUCCUAAGGGCGGCGGUUUCUCGUAUGCUUGCUGUUGCUCGUCAAUGGUGGUUAUGGCAGACUUGAGUCUGCUUAUUCUCUUCUUCAUUGUGCUGGGUGGCGCUGAGAUGGUGUUGAUUUCAUAGGGUGGGGGCGCUGUUGUUUCCGCGUCCAAACUAGAUGGUGAAGUGAAAGAUGCGACCUCGUUUGCAGGGAUGGCAUCUAGGUGGCGGAUGAGCGGUGAUCCGAUCUUGGGUUGGGAUGUCGGUGACCUUGCUGUGGUGGAAGACGAUGAUCUGCUGGUUUGCUUGACCAAAGGGUCUGCCAUCUCUAAUGGCGAUCUGAGGCUAUCGGAGAUGAGACCGACUCUGUUUCCCUCGGGCUCAGACUCUCUGUUGGUAGGGCGGAUGACUUCUUUCUACUCAUCAGAGGAAGCUGCUUUUGCUGGUGGUAACCCGGUGGCAGGGAUGUUGGCUGCGAGCUCUGACAUCGGUGGCUGCGCAGAUUGCGACGAAGCUCGAUGGCAGGACGGGGAUGAGCUCGGGUCUAUGGCGUUUUGCUCGUCGUCUGAACUGUUUCGCCUGGAAUCGGGCCCCACCAGUGAAGGGGGCAGAGCGGGCGACGUCCUCCGGCGAGUGGUGGUCGGUAGUGGGGGCAGGGCUGUCUUCUCACUUCGAGUUUGCCCUAGGUGGGUUGACUGGGCUUGGCAUUGGGAUUGGGCUGAGAGAGCUUUGCUUUGGGCUUGGACAGCUAUACUGUUUCCCAUUUUCAUUUUCAGUUUGGGCCUUCAUCUUUUUGUUCUGAAAGAUGAUUGGCCUGUUUAUUUCUUGCUUUGAGUGGGAAAGAUCGCAAAGAAAAGAGAGACCCUGUUGAGCCUCGUUUUUCGGGGUGUUAUUUUUAAUUCCUCAGGGCUCUACUCUUCUUUGUUCGUGCUUAAUCUUAGAAGGUAGGUGUACUAGGAGAUUACUAGUUUGGUUUGCUCUUUUAGUUAGGGUUGGCUUUGUAGUAGUUUCUACGGAACGGUUCUUUCUGUCGCCCCCAUAGGGGAGGAUCGUUUUUGUACUGCU